GAUGAACGCUAGCUACAGGCUUAACACAUGCAAGUCGAGGGGCAGCAUGGUCUUAGCUUGCUAAGGCCGAUGGCGACCGGCGCACGGGUGAGUAACACGUAUCCAACCUGCCGUCUACUCUUGGACAGCCUUCUGAAAGGAAGAUUAAUACAAGAUGGCAUCAUGAGUCCGCAUGUUCACAUGAUUAAAGGUAUUCCGGUAGACGAUGGGGAUGCGUUCCAUUAGAUAGUAGGCGGGGUAACGGCCCACCUAGUCUUCGAUGGAUAGGGGUUCUGAGAGGAAGGUCCCCCACAUUGGAACUAAGACACGGUCCAAACUCCUACGGGAGGCAGCAGUGAGGAAUAUUGGUCAAUGGGCGCAGGCCUGAACCAGCCAAGUAGCGUGAAGGAUGACUGCCCUAUGGGUUGUAAACUUCUUUUAUAAAGGAAUAAAGUCGGGUAUGGAUACCCGUUUGCAUGUACUUUAUGAAUAAGGAUCGGCUAACUCCGUG
rnacentral:rRNA from 1 species